UGAGCUCAGGCUCCCGGGCUGCUGCUGUCUGCUGAGUGAGAUCUCGGUCCUGGGAAAGAGAGAGAACAAUCAUCAGGGGAGGGAGCUGGCACCACACAUGGGACCAGGCAAGGGACUCAGGUGGCCCUGUCCCCAGCAUGUGGCAGGCCUGUGUAUGCUAAAGGGCUGAAGCAGGUUCCUGUUCCCAGAGGGGCUCCAUUUGUGCUGAGAGCACAGGUACCUCCUGGAGAGCCAGCCUCUCACUUGGAUGUAGAGAGCUUUCUAGAAGCCCUCAGGUAGCACGAAAGCCCAAUAUAUUAAAGAUGUUAACUGGGUGCCCGGUGUGCGUCAGGCCUUGGGAAAAGCAGCAGAGAGGACUCCCUCACAGAGAUUACGAACCUUGAGACAAAGUAAUUUAGCAAUAGGAUGACAGAAGUGAACAGAAGGUGUGUAGGUGAUCUCAGAGGGGGCUGGAGUGUUACCUAACCUAAGAUCUGGAGGAGAAAAGUAGCGGACAGGUCUGGGGGCUGGAAUGAGCUUGGCACAUGGGAAGAACGGGACAGGGGCCACAGGAGGUGAAAGCAGGAAGCAAGGAGAGUGAACCAGGAGCUCAUCAGAUGGGUUGGCAGGAGCUGGAUCACACAGAACUGAGUGAGAUGCUAACAUUUAUUAUUAUUUUUGAGACAGGGUCUUGCUGUGUUGCCUAGGCUGAAGUGCAGUGGUGAGAUCAUGACUACAGCCUCAAUCUCUUGGGCUCAGCCUCCUGGGUAUCUGGGACUAAUGGCAUGUGUCACCGUGCCCAGCUAAUUAAAAAAAAAUUUUUUUUUAAAUUUUUUUUUAAGAGAUAGGGUCAUUCUAUGUUCCCCAGGCUGGUCUCCAGCUCCUGGCCUCAAGUGAUCCUCCUGCCUUGGCCUUCCAAAGCACUCAGCCAGGAGUUAACUUUUUUUUUUUUUUUUUGAGACGGAGUCUCGCUCUGUCGCCAGGCUGGAGUACGAUGGGGCGAUCUCAGCUCACUGCAACAACGGCGUCCCGGGUUCAAGCGAUUCUCCUGCCUCAGCCUCCCGAGUAGGUAGAACUACAGGCACACGCCACCACGCCCGGCUAAUUUUCAUAUUUUUAUUAGAGACGGGGUUUCGCCAUGUUGGCCAGGAUGGCCUCGGUCUCUUUACCUGGUGAUCUGCCUGCCUUGGCCUCCCAAAGUGCUGGGAUUACAGGCGUGAAUCACCGCACCCGGCCAACAUUUUUAAGAUUUUAAAGGUAAUGGCAAGUCAUUGAAGGGUUUUCUAGCACAAAGACAUCAACUUAUGUUUCAAAAAAGGCCACUCUGGUUCCAAGUGGAAUAGAAGGCAAGACCAGUGACAGCAGAUCAGUCAGAGGUUAUUGCCUCUGUCCCGAAGAGAGGAAAAUGAGACUGGACUGAGGGGAUAGCAGUGGGAGUGCAGAGAAGUAGAUACAUUUGGGAUGUACUUUGCAGGUAGAUCUUGUUGCAGUGCUACUCAGAGGUGCUAGACUCCAGUUUAUUACUGAGACAGCAUGUUUGGAAAUCUUGUAGCAAUCUGAUGUCUGUUGAAUCUAAUAAUAAAAUACCUGGACUUGUAUCUUACAUGUCUUUUGCUAAGUUUCAUUUUCUGGGAAUUCAUUUUCAUGGACUGAGGCAAAAACAAGCAACUGGGGUCCUUCACAGGCGGGUUGAGAAGCCCAGGAGGCUGAAGUGCAAGGGGCAGGGUGGGCACAGGGAUGGGGCCUAGGUUUUUUUUUUUUUUUUUUUGAGAUGGAGUCGCUCAGGCUGGAGCGCGGCUCACUGCAACCUCCGCCUCCCAGGUUCAGGCGAUUCUCCUGCCUCAGCCUCCGGAGUAGCUAGGAUUACAGGUGCCCGCUACGCCCAGCUAAUUUUUUUGUAUUUUAGUAGAGAUGGGGUUUCACCAUAUUGGCCAAGCUGGUCUCGAACUCCUGAACUCAAGUGAUUCACACGCCUUGCCCUCCCAAAGUGCAGGGAUUACAGGCAUGAGCCACUGGGUCCUGCCUUUUUUUUUUUUUUUUUUUUUAAGACAGAGUCUCGCUCUGUCACCCAGGCUGGAGUGCAGUAGCUUGAUCUUGGCUCACUGCAACCUCUGCCAACCAGGUUCAAGUGAUUUUCCUGCCUCAGCAUCCUGAGUAGCUGGGACUACAGGCACCCGCCACCACCCCUGGCUAACUUUUGUACUGAGUAACGAGAAUGUUUAUGAAGUGGCUCCUACAUAAUAUCCCAGCCAUGAGGAGUCAUGAACCGACUCCAUGGUUUUGCCAUGUUGGCCAGGCUGUCUCCAACUCCUGGCCUCAAGUGAUCCACAGCCUCGGCCUCCCAAAGUGGUUGGGUGAGCCAAGAUUAGAGGCAUGAGCCACUACCCCCAGCUGGUGCUAGGUUUUUGGUGUGAGCAUGCGGAUGGGGAGCAGGGCAGAGGGGGAAAUGAGUACUGCUGUGGACAUGACAGGCUGCAGGCAUCUUGGGGAGAGAUCCCGAGAUCAUGGAAGCAGAGGGCUCAAUGGGUCUGAACUCCAAGGGAGGGCCAGGCUGAGGAGUAACCCUUGGAAGUCUUCAGCCUCAGAUGGUGUUUAAAACCAAGGACACAAAAGAAGUCAUUCAGAAAAUGCCUAAGACAGAAGACAAGACGACCCUGAUGGAAACUCCUGCUCUGACCUACUGCCAUUUCCUGCUCUCACCUGCAGCCUCAGUGGCAGUGGUGCUGGACUCCUGAGUGUCCUGGAGGGCACUAGGGAAGUUGGCCCUGACAGCACCCGCCUCCUCCGGAGGGCAGCCAGGCCGCAGUAGGGCCCUAGCCUGGCAGCACAGAGCCCGCUCCUCUUCCCGGGUUGCUCCCAGCUGCUCCGGCGCUAGGCCCGGCUGGGGAGGGCUGGGGCUCGCAGCAGCAG
rnacentral:lncRNA from 10 species